rnacentral:rRNA from 1 species
ACUCCUACGGGAGGCAGCAGUGGGGAAUAUUGCACAAUGGGGGAAACCCUGAUGCAGCCAUGCCGCGUGUGUGAAGAAGGCCUUCGGGUUGUAAAGCACUUUCAGUAGGGAGGAAGGUAGUGUAGUUAACACCUGCACUAUUUGUACGUUACCUACAGAAGAAGCACCGGCUAACUCCGUGCCAGCAGCCGCGGUAAGUACGGAGGGUGCGAGCGUUAAUCGGAAUUACUGGGCGUAAAGCGCAUGCAGGCGGCCUGUUAAGUCAGAUGUGAAACGCCCGGGGUCUUAACCGUCGGAAUUGCAUUUGAAACUGGCAGGCUAGAGUCUUGUAGAGGGGUAGUAAUUUCAGGUGUAGCGGUGAAAUGCGUAGAGAUCGUGAAGGAACUACCGAGUGG